rnacentral:rRNA from 1 species
AACGAACGCUGGCGGCAGGCUUAACACAUGCAAGUCGAGCGCCCCGCAAGGGGAGCGGCUGCCGUGUGAGUAACGCGUGGGAACGUACCUUUUGGUUCGGAACAACUCCGUGAAACUGGAGCUAAUACCGGAUAAGCACUAACGGGCAAAUAUUUAUCGCCCAAAGAUCGGCCCGCGUCUGAUUAGCUAGUUGGUGAGCUAACGGCACACCAAGGCGACGAGCGGUAGCUGUUAUGAGAGGAGGGUCAGCCACACUGGGACUUAGACACGGCCCAGACUCCUACGGGAGGCAGCAGUGGGGAAUAUUGGACAAUGGGCGCAAGCCUGAUCCAGCCAUGCCGCGUGAGUGAUGAAGGCCUUAGGGUUGUAAAGCUCUUUUGUCCGGGAAGAUAAUGACUGUACCGGAAGAAUAAGCCCCGGCUAACUUCGUG